rnacentral:rRNA from 1 species
GGGAGGCAGCAGUGAGGAAUUUUGCGCAAUGGACGAAAGUCUGACGCAGCAACGCCGCGUGGGUGAUGAAGGUCUUCGGAUUGUAAAACCCUGUCGUCAGGGACGAAGGUUGGGGCCCUAAUACGGUUUCAGCUUGACGGUACCUGGAGAGGAAGCCCCGGCUAACUCUGUGCCAGCAGCCGCGGUAAUACAGAGGGGGCAAGCGUUAUUCGGAAUUACUGGGCGUAAAGGGCGCGUAGGCGGUUUUUUAAGUCGGAUGUGUAAUCCCCGAGCUCAACUUGGGAACUGCAUCCGAAACUGGGAAGCUAGAGUACUGGAGAGGGUGGUAGAAUUCCACGUGUAGCGGUGAAAUGCGUAGAGAUGUGGAGGAAUACCAGUGGCGAAGGCGGCCACCUGGACAGUAACUGACGCUGAGGCGCGAAAGUGUGGGGAGCAAACAGGAUUAGAUACCCCGGUAGU